rnacentral:rRNA from 1 species
GCCUACGGGACGCAGCAGUGGGGAAUAUUGCACAAUGGGGGAAACCCUGAUGCAGCAACGCCGCGUGAGUGAAGAAGUAUUUCGGUAUGUAAAGCUCUGACAGCAGGGAAGAAAAUGACGGUACCUGACCAAGAAGCCCCGGCUAACUACGUGCCAGCAGCCGCGGUAAUACGUAGGGGGCAAGCGUUAUCCGGAUUUACUGGGUGUAAAGGGAGCGUAGACGGCAGGGCAAGUCUGGAGUGAAAGGCGGGGGCUCAACCCCCGGACUGCUCUGGAAACUGUGCGGCUUGAGUGCGGGAGGGGCG